rnacentral:rRNA from 1 species
GAUGAACGCUAGCGACAGGCUUAACACAUGCAAGUCGAGGGGCAGCACAGGUAGCAAUACCGGGUGGCGACCGGCGCACGGGUGAGUAACGCGUAUGCAACUUGCCUAUCAGAGGGGGAUAACCCGGCGAAAGUCGGACUAAUACCGCAUGAAGCAGGGGCCCCGCAUGGGGAUAUUUGCUAAAGAUUCAUCGCUGAUAGAUAGGCAUGCGUUCCAUUAGGCAGUUGGCGGGGUAACGGCCCACCAAACCGACGAUGGAUAGGGGUUCUGAGAGGAAGGUCCCCCACAUUGGUACUGAGACACGGACCAA